rnacentral:sRNA from 1 species
AUGAGGCUCCCAAUCCUGUUCACUGCCCUGCUCUGGUUCCGGGGUUUUCUGGCAGAGGAGGAAGCAUGCCCCUCCCUGGAAGGGAGUCCAGGCAGGGAGAGUGCAGGCCCACCCCUGAACGUGAACAUCACCAGCCAGGGGAGACCUACUAGCCUCUUUCUGAGCUGGGCAGCCCCGGGGCCAGGCAGGUUCACCCACGCCCUCCGCCUCACACGUCUGAGCCCCCUCAGCUCUCCUGAAGGGCAGCAGCUCCAGGCCCACACCAAUGCAUCCAGCUUUAAGUUCCAAGAUCUGGUGUCAGGGGGUCGCUACCAGCUGGAAGUGACUGCCCUGCGACCCUGUGGGCAGAAUGUCACCAUCACCCUCACUGCUCGCACUCCCCGUCAACUGUCCAUGGACUGCAGCUCCACAUUCCGGGAGCCCAUCCAGCCUGGAGGCCUCAUGGGGUGAUGCCCCCGGGGAGCAGGAUGGCUACUGCCUUCUCCUCUACCACCUAGAAUCCCAGACAUUGGCACAUAAUAUCUCCAUGCCCCUGGGCACCCUGUCCUACAAUUUUGGCAACCUCUUGCCAGGUAUUGAGUAUAUUUUGGAAGUUAACACCUGGGCUGGCAACCUCCAAGCAACAACCAGCCUCCAUCAGUGGACAGCCCCUGUGUCUCCAGAUCACCUGGUACUGCAUACCCUGGGCACCAGUGCCUUGCAAGCCUCCUGGAAUGGCUCCAAGGGGGCUGCCUGGCUCCACUUGGUGCUCACAGACCUCCUAGGUGGCACCAAUCUGACUGCAGUAUUCAGACGGGGAGUCUCCCAUCACACCUCCCUUCACCUGUCUCAGGGCCCCCCUGUGAGCUGACGCUCAGUGCUGCUGCGAGGCCCCAUCGGGCAGUGGGGCCCAAUGCCACAGAGUGGACCUAUCCCUCUGCCCACCCUCGACCUGGUUUGACUCCCCUGCCCGCCAAGCUCUGGGCAAGCUGGAAGGUAGGGCCAGGUGUGCAGGAUGGCUUCCUGCUGAAGUUAAGUGGGCCAGUGGAGAAGAAUAUCACUCUAGGCCCUGAGGCCCACAAUGUCACAUUCCCAGGGCCCCUGCCCACUGGGCACUAUGCUCUGGAGCUGAAGGUCCUAGCGGGGCCAUAUGACGCCUGGGCCCAGGCCAGUGCCUGGCUGGACGAUUCCGCAGCCAAGUCCAGACAAGGCAGUGGUGCCAAGCGGCAGCUGGAUGGGCUCGAGGCCUCCAAGGAGCCCAGGAGACGGGCCCUGCUCUACACAGAGGGAAACCUGGGCCUCCUUGGAAACAUCUCUGUGCCACCUGGUGCCACCCACAUCACCUUCUAUGGGCCAGUGCCUGGGGCCCGCUACUGUGUGGACAUUGCCUCAUCUCUGGGAAUCAUCACUUAGAGCCUCAUGGGCCACAAAAGUCCCCUGGCACCACAGUCCCUGGAGGUUAUCAGCAGGGGUGGCCCCUCUGACCUGGCCAUUGUCUGGGCCCCAGCACCAGGACAGCGGGAAGGCUUACAGGGUCGCUUGGCACCAGGAGGGCAGCCAGAGGUCACCGGGCAGUCUUGUUGACUUGGGCCCCGACAAUUCCAGCCUGACCCUGAGGAGUCUGGUGCCUGGCUCCUCCUAUGCCAUGUCAGUGUGGGCCUGGGCAGAGAACCUUGGCUCUAGCAUCCAGAAGAUCCACCCCUGUACUUGUGAGUUCCUGGCUGCAGCCUGCUUAGCCUGGACUCUGCUGCCUGGGGUCAGUGGCAGGCCCUGCUUUCCAGUGGAAUCCUGGGCUCACAGGACGCCCUGAAAUGGUGUCUCUAGCUCCUGGGUGUUUCUUGAUAGGGCCAAGGAUGGAGGGAGAAAUUGGGGUUCUUUUGGAGAGGGGGGAGCCAGAGAUUUAGUGUAGAUCGUUUCUCCCUUUUCUCCACACCCUCCAUAUCUUGCUCUCCUCGCAGGCCCGCUUGCCCCUCCUCUGGUAAAUGUGACGAGUGAAGAUCCCACCCAGCUCUGGGCAUCCUGGGUCCAUGCCCCCAGGGGCCGAGACAGCUACCCGGUGACCCUGUACCGGGCAGGCACCAGCGCCGUCGGAGCCAAGGUGGCCAGCACAAGCUUUUCGAGUCUGACUCCAGGCACGAAGUACGAGGUGGAGGUUGUCACGCAGGCUGGGCCCCACCACAUUGCAGCAGCCAACACCUCUGGCUGGACCCGCCCUGCACACACCCAGUGAGUUGGUGUCCAUGCAUGCGAGCACCGCUGUGGUCAACCUGGCCUGGGCCAGCAGCCCCUUGGGGCAGGGGAUGUGCUACACCCAACUCUCAGAGGCGGGGCACCUCUCCUGGGAGCACCCUCUGGUGCCAGGCCAAGCCCACCUCAUCCUGAGGGGCCUCACACCUGGAUGCAACCUCUCCCUGUCAGUGCUGUGCCAGGCAGGGCCGCUGCAGGCGUCCACUCAGCGCGUGGUACUGCUUGUUGAGUCUGGCCCUGUGGAGGAUGUGCAGUGCCAGCCUGAGGCCACCUUCCUGGCCCUGAACUGGACAGGGCCCGCCAGGGAUGUGGGCACCUGUCUGGUGGUGGCAGAGCAGCUGGUGGCAGGAGGGAAUGCUCACCUUGUGUUCCAGGCCGACACCUCCAAAAAUGCAGUCCUGUUGCCCAACCUGGUGCCUGUCACUUCCUAUCGCCUCAGCCUCGCCGUGCUGGGCAGGAACGGUCUGUGGAGUCGGUUGGUCACUCUGGCAUGUUCCACAUCUGCCGAGGCCUGGCAUCCCCCAGCAUUAGCCCCGGCCCCUGAGCUGGAGACUGGGACAGAAAUGGGAGUGAUGAUCCCGCGGGGUAUGUUUGGCAAGGAUGAUGGGCAGAUCCAGUGGUACGGCAUCAUUGCCACCACCAACAUGUCACAUGACUCAGCCUUCCUGGGAAGCCAUCAACCACAUGUGGCAUGACCACUACUACAGAGGACAUGACUCCUACCUGGCCAUCCUGCUCCCCAACCCCUUCUACCCAGAUCCCUGGGCUGUGCCGAGAUCCUGGACAGUGCCUGUGGGUACAGAGGACUGUGGCCACACCAAAGAGAUAUGCAACGGGCAGCUCAAGCUAGGUUCCCAGUAUAGGCGAGCGCUAAGGCUGAAGGGAGUGAUGAAACUUACAAGAUCUUGCUGGAAAUGCACGCUGCUCCACACCCAGGGUGGAAUUCAGGAUCUGCGUUUCCAACAGGCCCCCAGGUGAUCAGGUUGUGCUGCCAGGACUCUGAGGUCCCCUGCUUUGUACCUGUCACCCAGGGGAGGGCAGGGCAGGACUCUGCAAACCUAAGGCUGGGGGGCUACCCUCUCCACCUCCCACCAGGUGGACCCACCGGCCCAUCCCUAUCCACAGCUUCAGGCAGAGCUAUGAGGCCAAGAGUGCUCACGCGCACCGGGCUUUCUUUUUGCAAUUCGAGGAGCUGAAGGAGGUGGGCAAGGAGCAGCCCAGACUGGAGGCUGAGUAUGCUGCCAACACCACCAAGAACCAUUACCCACACGUGCUACCCUACGACCACUCCAGUGUCAGGCUGACCCAGCUGGAGGGAGAGCCUCAUUCUGACGACAUCAACGCCAACUUCAUCCCAGGCUACACCCACCCACCCACAGGAAUUCAUUGCCUCUCAGGCGCCUCUCAAGAAAACACUGGAGAACUUCUGGCGGCUGGUGCGGGAGUAGCAGGUCCGCAUCAUCAUCAUGCUGACCGUCGGCAUGGAGAACAGGAGGGUGCUGUGUGAGCAUUACUGGCUGACCGACUCUACCCCGGUCACCCAUGAUCACAUCACCAUCCACCUCCUAGCCGAGGAGGCUGAGGAUGAGUGGACCAAGCGGGAAUUCCAGCUGCAGCACGUGCGUGCCCCAAGGAUGAGGGGGGUGGAGUAACUGCAAUUCACCACCUGACCCGACCACAGCAUCCUCAAGGCCCCCAGCUCCCUGCUUACCUUUAUGGAGCUGGUACAGGAACAGGCAAGGGCCACCCAGGGCAUGGGACCCAUCCUGGUGCCCUGCAGGAGGGCAGGUGAACAGGCACCUUCGUGGCCCUGUUGAGGCUGCUGCAGCAGCUGGAGGAGGAGCAGAUGGUAGACGUGUUCCAUGCUGUGUAUGCAUUCUAGAUGCACGGGCCCCUCAUGAUCCAGACCCUGAGCCAGUACGUCUUCCUGCACAGCUGCCUACUGAACAAGAUUCUGGAAGGGCCCUUCAACAUCUCUGAGUCUUGGCCCAUCUCUGUGAUGAACUUCGCACAGGCGUGUGCCAAGAGGGCAGCCAAUGCCAACGCUGGCUUCUUGAAGGAGUACGAGCUCUUGCUGCAGGCCAUCAAGGACGAGACUGGCUCUUCCGCACCCCUGCCUGGCUAUGAGCAGGACAGCCCCUUCUCCUAUGACUGUUCUCAGGGGCAGUUUUCUCCAGUGUAGGAGAGCACCCCUGACGACAUGCCCGAAGCCUGGCUCUUCCCUGGUGGGCCCUCUGGCUGUGAUCAUAUGGUGCUGACUGGCCUCGCACGGCCAGAGGAGCUCUGGGAGCUGGUGUGGCAGCACGGGGCUCAUGUGCUUGUCUCUCUGUGCCCACUCGAUGCCAUGGAGAAGCCACAGGAAUUCUGGCCAAUGGAGAUGCAGCCCAUAGUCACAGACAUGGUGACGGUGCACUGGGUGGCCGAGAGCAGCACAGUGGGCUGGCUCUGUGCCCUCUUCAGGGUCACACAUGGGGAGAGCAGGAAGGAAAGAGAGGUGCAGAGACUGCAGUUUCCAUACCUGGAGCCUGGGCAUGAGCUGCCCGCCACCACCCUGCUGCCCUUCCUGGCUGCUGUGGGCCAGUGCUGCUCUCGGGGCAACAGCAAGAAGCCGGGCACACUGCUCAGCCACUCCAGCAAGGGUGCGACCCAGCUGGGCACCUUCCUGGCCAUGGAGCAGCUGCUGCAGCAGGCAGGGUCUGAGUGCACCGUGGAAGUCUUUAACGUGGCCCUGCAGCAGUCUCAGGCCUGUGACCUUAUGACCCCAACGCUGAAGCAGUAUAUCUACCUCUACAAUUGUCUGAACAGCGCACUGGCAGACGGGCUGCCCCUGAGUCGG